CGGUUGAUCCUGCCGGAGGCCAUUGCUAUCGGAGUCCGAUUUAGCCAUGCUAGUCGUGCGAGUUCAGACUCGCGGCACCGAGCUCAGUAACACGUGGCCAAACUACCCUACAGAGACGGAUACCCUCGGGAAACUGAGGUUAACCCGUCAUACCGAUCUCAGGCUUGAAUCGCAGAGAUCACAAAACGCCCCGGCGCUGUAGGAUGUGGCUGCGGUUGAUUAGGUAGACGGUGGGGUAACGGCCCACCGUGCCCAUAAUCAGUACAGGUUGUGAGAGCAAGAACCUGGAGACGGAAUCUGAGACAAGAUUCCGGGCCCUACGGGGCGCAGCAGGCGCGAAACCUUUACACUGCACGCACGUGCGAUAAGGGGACUCCGAGUGCGAGGGCAUAUCGUCCUCGCUUUCGUGUACCGUAGGGUGGUACACCAAUAAGGGCUGGGCAAGACCGGUGCCAGCCGCCGCGGUAAUACCGGCAGCCCGAGUGAUGGCCGAUCUUAUUGGGCCUAAAGCGUCCGUAGCUGGCCGCGCAAGUCCAUCGGGAAAUCCACCCGCCCAACGGGUGGCCGUCCGGUGGAAACUGUACGGCUUGGGACCGGAAGGCGCGACGGGUACGUCCGGGGUAGGAGUGAAAUCCCGUAAUCCUGGACGGACCGCCGAUGGCGAAAGCACGUCGCGAGAACGGAUCCGACAGUGAGGGACGAAAGCCAGGGUCUCGGACCGGAUUAGAUACCCCGGUAGUC
rnacentral:rRNA from 1 species